GUAAACACUGAUACAUUUUGUGUGCAAUUUCUCCUACUGUACAAAUGACUGUUUGUUACCCAGUGUACAAAGAAGGUCAACAAGAAGAACCACUGCACUCCAACACCUUCCCAGAACCAGACCCCUGCCAUCAGUGAAACAGCAAUUGUCAAUGAUCAAGAAUCCUGCCGAACAGAGAGUGUAUGCUCCACCAAGAAGAAACCAAGGAAGCGUUCGCUCAUUUCCAGGAUGUUUUCAGCUAUAGGCAAAACCUUGUCCAGUCCCUUUACUUCCUGCUUUAAAAAGAAGAGCACCUAAUCUAUAUUUCAAAAUAAAUAUUUGAAAUUAAC
ensembl:lncRNA